rnacentral:lncRNA from 1 species
UGAUUAAAUAAUUUAAUUUUUAUUGUUGAUAAAUACCAUUUGGGGUAUAUGCAUCAUUUCAUAUUCUAUUAUCUUAAGUAUUAAAUUGUGACUAUGAUAAGACCUGAAUAUUAAACAUAUAUGGUCAUAGGACAAGAUGGAAUUGUUCCUACGGAAAUUUGGGAAUUCACAAUUUCCUCACUCCCAUUAAGUGAAAUGUAGUCUAAAAACUUCUUCCCAUCAUAGGUUACUAAGCUAGCCCGUGUGAAUGUACGGGUUGACGAAUAGUACAAACUAAUGAUAAGUAGACUACUCCUCUUGUUGAAUAUGUCCUAGUGAUUCUUGUUCCCCAAUAAUCCAAAAUCUCUCAUGACAAAACGAGUUUCAUCCAGUACAUCAUCUAGAUCCAGUAUUUAUGUGGUUAUACUAGCUACG